GGCGGCAUGGCGGAAUUGGCAGACGUGCUGGACUCAAAAUCCAGUGUCCGCAAGGACGUCCCGGUUCGACCCCGGGUGCCGCUACCA
rnacentral:tRNA from 1 species